rnacentral:rRNA from 1 species
CGCGUAGGCGGUUUCUUAAGUCAGAUGUGAAAUCCCGGGGCUUAACCCCGGAAGUGCAUUUGAAACUAAGGGACUUGAGUAUGGGAGAGGGAAGUGGAAUUCCUGGUGUAGAGGUGAAAUUCGUAGAUAUCAGGAGGAACACCGGUGGCGAAGGCGACUUCCUGGACCAGUACUGACGCUGAGGCGCGAAGGCGUGGGGAGCAAACA